UACGAAGGGGGCUAGCGUUGUUCGGAAUUACUGGGCGUAAAGCGCACGUAGGCGGACUAUUAAGUCAGGGGUGAAAUCCCGGGGCUCAACCCCGGAACUGCCUUUGAUACUGGUAGUCUCGAGUCCGGAAGAGGUGAGUGGAAUUCCGAGUGUAGAGGUGAAAUUCGUAGAUAUUCGGAGGAACACCAGUGGCGAAGGCGGCUCACUGGUCCGGUACUGACGCUGAGGUGCGAAAGCGUGGGGGAGCAAACAGG
rnacentral:rRNA from 1 species